UACGAAGGGGGCUAGCGUUGCUCGGAAUCACUGGGCGUAAAGGGUGCGUAGGCGGGUCUUUAAGUCAGGGGUGAAAUCCUGGAGCUCAACUCCAGAACUGCCUUUGAUACUGAGGAUCUUGAGUUCGGGAGAGGUGAGUGGAACUGCGAGUGUAGAGGUGAAAUUCGUAGAUAUUCGCAAGAACACCAGUAGCGAAGGCGGCACUCUGGGCCGGUACUGACGCUGAGGAGCGAAAGCGUGGGGAGCGAACAGG
rnacentral:rRNA from 1 species